AUUGAACGCUGGCGGCAUGCUUUACACAUGCAAGUCGAACGUGUGGCGCACGGGUGCGUAUUACAUCGGAACGUGUCCUAUCGUGGGGGAUAACUGAUCGAAAGAUCAGCUAAUACCCCAUACGAUUGGAGCGGCCGAUGCCCGUUUAGCUAGUUGGUGAGGUAAAGGCUCACCAAGGCGACGAUCGGGAGCUGGUCUGAGAGGACGACCAGCAACACUGGGAAUGAGAAACGGCCCAGACUCCUACGGGAGGCAGCAGUGGGGAAUUGUGGACAAUGGGGGCAACCCUGAUCCGGCCAUGCCGCGUGCAGGAUGAAGGUCUUCGGAUUGUAAACUGCUUUUGUCAGGGAAGCGGUACCUGAAGAAUAAGCACCGGCUAACUACGUGCCAGCAGCCGCGGUAAUAG
rnacentral:rRNA from 1 species